UGUAAAUUCACGAAAGAGCACAUAGAGGAUGCCUUGAGAGAUUUAGCUGAUGAAGGACGUGGUAGCCUGCGAUAAGCGUCGGGGAGCUGGCAACAAGCUAUGAACCGACGAUUUCCGAAUGGGGAAACCCGCGUGAGUAAACCUCACGCACCCUGUACUUAAGUACAGUGGAAGGCACCCGGGGAACUGAAACAUCUAAGUACCCGGAGGAAAAGAAAGCAGUAGCGAUUCCCCCAGUAGCGGCGAGCGAAAAGGGAACAGCCUAAACUCGUUCGCUGAAUCUUGGGCGUAAGUAGGAAACAGGCGGCCCCUUAAAAUAUGUGGGUUGAGCCUUAGAAAAUUUGUUUCUGCUUGCGUCCGGGAUUCAGUGAGCGAGGGUUAUAGGGAAAUAACUCACUUUUAAUAGUGAGGUGCGUGAAGAGAUUAUAAGAAGGAUCUUGGAAAAGACCACCACAGAGGGUGAUAGUCCCGUAUUUUAAAAUUUCUUCAAGUACCGCGUUAUUUUUCCUGAGUACGACUGGACACGAGCAAUCCAGUCGGAAGGUCGGGUGAUCGUGCCCGAAGGCUAAAUACUAAAUCUCAUCGAUAGCGAACAAGUACCGUGAGGGAAAGGUGAAAAGUACCCAGAGUAUGGGAGUGAAAUAGUUCCUGAAACUAUGUGCUUACAAGGAGUCGGAGCAUCGCAAGAUGUGACGGCGUGCCUUUUGAAGAAUGAGCCAGCGAGUUACAUCUUUGUCCCAAGUGUAAGGGCCUUUGGUCCGGACGCGAAGCGAAAGCGAGUCUUAAUAGGGCGAUUUAGGGGCAGGGAGUAGACCCGAAACCGGGUGAUCUAGCCAUGAGCAGGGUGAACCCUCGAGAAAUCGAGUGGGGAGGCCCGAACCCACCAUAGUGGCAAAUAUGGGGGAUGACUUGUGGUUAGCGGUAAAAUUCCAAUCGAACCCGGAGAUAGCUGGUUCUCCUCGAAAUAUAUUUAGGUAUAGCCUGAUACUACAUGGUGUGGGGUAGAGCACUGAAAGGUGUUUGGGGACGCAAGUUCUCACCACCUAUCAAACUCCGAAUACGCACCGUUCGGGUAUCAGAGUCAGACUGUGCGGGCUAAGCUGCAUGGUCAAAAGGGAAAGAGCCCAGACCUACAACUAAGGUCCCUAAAUCCGAGCUCAGUGGAAAACGAAGUGGAAAGGCGUAGACAACCAGGAUGUUGGCUUAGAAGCAGCCAUCAUUUAAAGAAAGCGUAAUAGCUCACUGGUCGAUUCUACGUUCCAGGCAAUGUUGGUCCUAACGGACCGGCGGCGUCGGGAACCUCUAGGCCUUUUUGCGCGGAAAAUUCAACGGGGCUAAGCUCGGUACCGAAGUUUAGGAUUGUGCCGCAAGGCACAAUGGUAGAGGAGCGUUCGUAGUUGGGUGAAGCGGGAGCGUGAGCAACCGUGGACGGCUACGAAGUGAGAAUGCUGGCAUGAGUAACGAAAGGGAAGUGAGAACCUUCCCCGCCGCAAACCCGAGGUUUCCACAGCAACGACGAUCGUCUGUGGGUUAGUCGGUCCUAAGGGGUAAGACCUCGAUGGACACACGGUUAAUAUUCCGUGACUACCUUAUAACUACCUUGGCGCGACACGGACUGUAGGUUGAAAGAGCUGUUGGUUAUGCUCCGUAGGCUGAACGUCUGGCAAGAAAAGCGUCAAGAUCACUAUGUAAGGUAUCCGUACCGCAAACCGACACAGGUGGGUGAGUCGAGUAGACUCAGGUGGUCGAGUGAACCCUCUUUAAGGAACUCGGCAAAAAAGCAGGCGUAACUUAGGGAUAUGCCUCGCCAUCAGCAAUGGUGGCUGCAACAAAUGACUUUCAAGCGACUGUUUAACAAAAACUUAGGUCUCUGCUAACCCUCAUGGGGAUGUAUAGGGGCUGAUGCCUGCCCAGUGCUCGUAGGUUACGAGGAGAGUUGAUCCGGUGGAUUUAUCCAUUGAUGAGGCUUGAAUCUAAGCCCGAGUGAACGGCAGCGGUAACUAUAACCGUUCUAUGGUAGCGAAAUUCCUUGUCGGGUAAGUUCCGACCC
rnacentral:rRNA from 1 species